CACGUAGUUGGCCGGUCCUUCUUCUGCACAUACCGUCACUUGCGCUUCGUCUGUGCUGAAAGAGGUUUACAACCCGAAGGCCGUCAUCCCGCACGCGGCGUUGCUGCAUCAGGCUUCCGCCCAUUGUGCAAUAUUCCCCA
rnacentral:rRNA from 1 species